ACCUUUCUCCCUCUCUCUUCCGCCGUCUAUUCUCCCUCUUUUACGUCUCCGUCUCGUCUUCUUGCUCUUGCAUAUCUUCUCUCCUUUCAUAAACAGUGUCACCCUUUUCCCUCUUUCCGCUUGCCGUUCCCAAUCUGCCAUCUCUUCCCUCACUCUCUUCCUUCUGGUUCCUAUUUCUUGGUUGGGAUGUGGGGGGUUUCGCGAGGCUACAGCCGGGAGACGACGGCAUGAUCGGCUCAAGGUCGGUUGGAAGGACCUUCCGGGUCGGAUCGAGAAUGGCUCCACCCGAGAAGGAUAUCGGAUCCGUUUUUACCUCAUUACAUCAGAUCCUAGCGGGCCCCUCCCUAAACGGGUAAGCGACGCUCCCUCGCUCCAAGUCCUGAUCCUAUCCGUCCGAUGACGCGUCCGCAGUAGAUGUGAGGUCGAGGAGGGUUAGUUACCAGUCACCACUUCAUCCGCCUAUGAUAGGCAUCUCUAUAAAUCGAGGCCCUUCUCGACUCUUCUCGUCGCUUCACGGCUCUCUGGCAAAUCGCAUGUCUUUCCUCGUUCGUUCCGUUUUCCACUACCGUGCAUCCCAACCGUUUCCCUCUUUCCACACCCGUCGCCAGCGUUGUGGCUGCCGUUUCUCGAUCGGCCCGCCUCCGGCCUCGGGACGCUUGGCGUCGCGGCAUUGUUUUCCGACGGGCGGAUUCUCUCUGGCGCCUUAGCCGCAGGCUUUGCGAGUACGUGGGGCGUUAUUUGUCUGCGUUGGUGGCGGGGAAGAUAUUACCAACCAACAUGACAUAAAGUUGUGUGUACUGCUCCUACAUGCUAAGAUAUCUUAAAUCAUGAAGUCCCUGCAACCAAUAUUAUAGUCCUAAAGGGCCCCAGAUCAAGGUUAGACCAUGAGACGAGCUAGAAGUCAAAAGAAUGGUGGUUGUUACAGGUUGUUGGUUGUCACUUUUAUCAAUGUGACAAUUUGACUCUCUGAUAAUGAGUUGCUUAUUCAGAGAUUUCUCCAUUGCCAUUCUUUCUUCCCUUGGACAUUCCAAUAAACUGUAAGAACCAUGAAGACGCAGCAAUUGUGCCCAACCAGCUAGAUGCUUAGUCUUUGGUAGAUCAUGUGCAUUUUGAUGCUAUUUUUCGCUGGAAUACGACAUCGACUAAAUGGCUCCGUCUCCCCAGGGUAAAUUUGCGAGCAGAAUUAUCAUGAGGUGAGCAUGAAAACACUAUCGAUUUUUACCCCCGGUACCCUGCCCCACCUUUUUUUAAUCUAAUUUUGAAGUCGAGACUUGAGUAAAAGCCCUCGAGAAUAUAAAUUAAGCCCACAAUAUAAAUUAAGACGGCUAGUUCCACAAUAUAUAAGGAUCAAUUUUAAACAUAAAACGUUAGAAUGGUUUCACGUUAGUUAGAGUUUUAGGACUUCGAUGACUUCGUGUACUUGGAUGACUUCUAAAGUAUCUUACACGGGUGACCUAACAAAUCUUUCUCAACCGUGGAGCUUGC